UCUAGCUCAACUUUAUCCCACCGUGCAACGGCCACGACCGACUAGGCUGAUAAUGGAUGUUCCUGCAGUAAAAGUUCUAGUCAUUCAGUCCAUCGAGUCAUUUAAAGCGGUCGUCAAUUGUCCGGGUCGGUCCUCGGAAUAAGUAUAUAUAGUGGCCACCAAUUGCCAUUUUCAUCGAGUCUCGCCCGCUAGAAUGUUCUUCCUCCCCGUAUGAUGAGGGCGGAGUGCGGGACGACGGUCCUCGUUGUCGUCGCCGUCCCGGUUGUCGUUCUAUUUGUAUGUAUUGUGUCCACGCGGAUGGUUGCGGGCGCGAGAACAAGCGGGAAGGCUCAUCAUUUUCGGAAAACGUUGAUGUCUACUAUAAAAGUCCAAUUGAGAUGAAAUCUAGUAAACAGUAUGUCUUAAUCAGUAGUUCGGAACGUUACGGCGGUUGCAGUCGUGCCGGUUUGCAGCACAAGUGAAAGCAAAAGAGAAACAAGAGUAAUAGUUGAUUUGUUCUGUUCUGUGCGAUGUGCUGCUGCUACUGCUGCUGUAGAGGCCUGUUAUCAGUUGCAGGGCAGCGAACAUUCUGCCGCCGAGUUGGUUUUGACUACGUUUCACUGUACAUUACGCUGCGAUGACGUGCAUAGUGUGUAUAAACUGAGUUCAGAAGUUCAGAUAAGGUCAGAUCGGAGGCUAGUGAUGAGUGCGUGACUGGAUAGAGCCGCGGUCAAUAAUCAAUGGUGCUUUUGUAGUGCAAUGUGUGGAAAACCGACGAAGGGUGAUGCAAUUGGAACCGUGCCCACCUGGAAAUGUUCGUGUUUGGCGGUAACCAACCAUAUCAAGGAUUUCCAUUCACAUCGGGUCCGAGUGCAGCGUGGAUAGCAGCUCACUGUGUCUGGCGGUUGAUAAGAAUUCUUUACUAAGUACUAGUGCCGCAGGAGAGAUUUGAACCCCUGCUGCCCAAGUGCUUAUCGAAGAGUUCCGCUCGUACAUCGUUGGAAACCACGUGUCAACACAACCGCUUCUCGCUGUCUUGCUCCAGUACUUUAAUCUGCCAACAGUGCAAAUUUAUUACACAGUGGAGGAAUGUUUCGACGUGUUUUGCAAAACCCGUUGGUGUUAGCAAAGGAUUGUAACAAAACUACACUGAUUUGAGAUUGAAAUAACAAAAAAAGAUCUCAGCGCAGCCCCACGAACUAGACAAGACGUUCUCCAUAUAAUCAUGACAAAGACGGCGACGACGACGACGGCGCCGCAGCGGGUAAACCAACGGGAAAUGAAGGUUAUAUUGAGCCCGGCCUACAUUGCCCUGUCCUGUCUCUCUAAUAGUCUUCGCCGCCGUCGUCGUCGGACGUACAUUCUCGUUCAUAUGCUCUUGUCGCUGCAGGUCGUUCAUCACUGGGGCGGAAACGGAUCGUUGACUCGGCUGGAAAUUCAUCGAAUUUGGCGGAAAUUGAUGUUAUAUCUUCCGUCAUAAGGGCCGUUUGUGGCGUAUCAUAGCCGGAUUACAUCGUCAAUUCCCGCAAUGGCGAUGGUGGGCCGGAUCACAGCGAUUACAGCAAUCGCAAAAAUGAAAUAAACUGGUAUAAAAUGAGAAGAAAAUGAAAAUAAAUUUCAAAUAUCCGAAAAGCAGAAGCAAGGCAUAGUCCAAUGCAUCAAAUGCAUCCACAUACUUGUUGGAAUUCACUUGUACACGUGCUUUUGCAAAGUGUAUGUUUUAUUUGAAAGCUAAUUACAAACUCAGUCACAAAGUGAAAAUUCUGGUUGCUGCGGGAUACCACAUAACCGUAUUGCUACUAUGAUCGGGAAUCGAAUUCAAAUGUGCUUCAAGAUCUAUAAUAAUUUAUGGGUGGUUGUGGUAUCCGCUAAUUAUUAUGGUUUGGUAAUAUCUGCCAUACCCCAUUUUACGGUAAUAACUUACGAAAAUUACACUUUCAUGUAUAACUUUGAAUAUUUGUAGAAUCCUUAAUGACGAAAUCGGGUUUAACGAAUAUUUGCCAGCUAGAAACAUUCAUUGAAAUGUUCAUUGCAUGUGCGAUACUGCUACGGCAAGGAAUGUUUUAACGUGUCUUUCUAUAUCGCUUAUCUCGCAGUUUGAGAAAAUAUCAACUUUAAUACAGAAAUACGUAACUAAUUAGCCAUAAAACUUGUUAACUUAUCAUUCCAUAAUUUUUGAGUCAGAUAACGGUCAUUUUUCACUUCUUGUUUUAAGUUUAAUGCGUUAUACAGGGUGUUAGGUUCCUGAGUGCAAACUUUUCAAAGGGUGAUAGAGGACCAUAAAUGGUGAAAAAAAAAGUUCUACGGUCAAAUCUCAACCGUUACGUAGUUAUUGAACUUCCCAUGUUUUUGACUCUCAUUGUCUUAACUGGCUAAAAAUGGUCAAACUUAUCACAGCUUUUUGACCCUUAUUCGAAAGAUUAUUGAGUUUUCUAUCAAAUGGCAUCUUUGAAUCGAUGAGUGGAAUAGCUGGCUCAGAGAUCGCAGCAAUCCGUGCGUGCGAACGGUUCAUUCGAAGUUUCUGUCACGCGUUUUCUCGUUUCCGUGUGAUUUUCGGCUGGAGUAAAAUGGCUUGGUAUUAUGCCAUUCAGUUAGUUUUACCGAAGUGUUUAGGAAAUGAAAAUUAGGUUUUUCCUGUCGUGUAUUCGCGGAUCUUUUAUUUCGGCGAUCGUAAUUUUAAUUUAGUUGCGGUACACCUUCCAGGCAAUAAUUCACAAGUGAUGGCUGUAUUAGUGUUUUUGUAUCGAAUGUUCCCGACUUAUCAAAUCAAUUCCUGGUGUUCUAAGGGUGCCGUUAUAGUUACGCGUGAGAGUGGGAGUGCGCGUGUGCGAAGCCGCAAAGAAGAAUAUCAACAAUAGCAAAUUCACGAAAAUCCUAUGGACGCGCACUUUCACUCUCACUUUGAAGCGGCACUAUGUCAUCGCCGUAAUUCCUUCGAGUGAUGCAAACGGAAAAGAGAUCUGAAGUGGUGCAAAUUAAGAUGUGAUUCUGUGUGCGCUGUGUCACCAAGAGAAUUGGGUUUGGUGUUUUUACGUAUAACGUGUGAAAAAUGAAAAGCCUCAACUCCUUUCGUCAGUGAAACGAUGUUUGUGCAAACCUAGCUUUUUCAACACUAAAACGAAGUAAAAUUGUGGGGUUUGCAAUUACUAAACCCAAACUUGAUACUCGGGAUCUUAUUUCGGAACGACUCGACAUUCCUUAUGCAGAACUGAGCAGUUGUUUCUGGAUGCUGUGGCUGUUCAUCAAUGAUACUGGGUGAAAAUGUUCCUUUUAUCAUAUAUUUAUUGUACCUAAUAAUCCUGUGCGAGAAAUGUAAUUUAAAUUUCUUGGUAAUACUUUUUAGUUUCACACAUAUUGAUUUAUUUUAAUGUUAUCAGUAACGCGCAAUUUCAAAGGGUCUAGGAACCUGCAUUUUGUCUAUUUCGUUUCAGAGUGCUAGUAAUGGCGCUUAAGCCUAGGCUUUAAGGCCAGGACACAUGGACAAAUGCCUGUGCCCCAUCCCAGAAUAACAGACGCCAACUAUAACGGAGUGUGCAUUAACCUUCUUAGCUGCGCCACUCCCAACGAUUUUAUGUUCAAACCCCAUUCCCCUAAAACGAAACGGUUGGUACGGUUGUCCCCGUUUCUUCCUUCAAUAAAUUCAAAAAGGUUUGUUGAUUAUGUUAUUCAUAAGUGGAUAACCUGAUUGCCUCAUCUUUUUGAAUUAUCUCCCAACCCAUUAGUCUGCACAGUGGGCCUGGCCGUUUUAGUGUUUGUAUCACAUUACAUCUCUGAUAUGCUGCAAAUACUAAUAAUGACAAUAAAAUAUCAGAAGAAAUUUUGAUAUUUCCAGGAUGCUUUUCAAUACUGGCUGUGCAAGCACUAGAAUAGAAUAGAAAUAAAUAGAAUAAAUGGCAUCUUUGAAUCGAUUGGUUAAGUUAAAUAACCCUCUAAUACCCUCUACUUACCCUAAUUACCCUCUAAUUUGAUUUUGAUCUAAAUAUCAUUUUUCGUCAUCUGAAAUCGAUUUAAACAUGUUUUGGAAGAUGAUUCUUUUCAAUUCUCGAUUUCGUGAACUUCGGUUUUUGAUUUUUCUAAUUUUUAUUUUUGAUCAUCCCCACACUUUUAUAUUUUUCCUGGAAGCUCAUUUGGGGUACAGAUUUUUUGAGACGGAAACAUUUUGAGAUUUUAUGAUUAUUGUUGAAUUAUUUUUAUUUUAAUUUUUUUUCAUGGAAAAUUUUGUUUUCCGUGUAAUUUUAAGGAAAAUAAUUUUAGAGUGUAUUCGACUCCCUUAAACUAUUAAACUAGGAUAGACUGAUUUGAAAAAAAUUUAAAAUAUGUUAAUUGCAGCGAAUCAAUACAGAAUAAACAAUGACUUCUGAAAGGUGAAUAAAACAUCUAUUUUUCAAUGAUUAAAAAAAAAUGUUAAUACGUUUUUAAAUACACCAAAAACCAUUUUGAGAUAUACAGAACAGUUCUAAAUAUCAGCCCAAAAUACAAAAAUUUUUAUUUUCCACGAAACAAAAAUUACAAAAAUGUUCAAACUAUACCCCGUCUAAAGGCGGGGUUGGGUAUUAGAGGGAUAACUAAGUUUUCUAGAGCAAAUAGCUCAAAAGUAGUGUGUUUUAUUUGCUUUUGUCAAUUAUCUUUGAAAAAUGCCUAAUAUUUUUUUUUCUAAGGCAAAGUUGUGGCUCCUUUCUCACUCUACAAUUCGUUCUUUGACAUCAAACUUCUAUCUCUCAUCGUGUUUUUGCAAUUUCGUUCUAAACAUCACAUUUCAGAUCAUUAAUUUGCAACUGUCAAGGUAAAGCACUUUUUUGCCCACUGUGCCGCAUAUGAGCGAUUCCAAGCAACAGCAUCAAAAUUAAGGAAAAUUUUUAAUUCAUGAUUUUCUAUUGAACUGAAACUUUGCACAGUUUUUCAGUUCCAUCUAAAUCGCCAUUUUUCGAUAUCAAAUUUUUAUUUAGAGCCACGACUAACUUUUCAAAAGGGUGUAUGUGAAAAUGGUUCAAAAAUAUUCAAAAAUAUGCACAGCAAAAACGGAUUGUUCGAUUGUUAUGAAUUUUUCAGCAAAGAUAGCUAAAUGGUGAUUUCUAAGAAAAUAUACACUGUGAAAAAAAAUCUAUUUUAUCAUUGAAAAACAUCAUUUUUGUCACAAAAACUCAAAUAUCUCAAAACCCUAUCUUUUUACCAACUUGAAUUUUUUAGGGAAAACGGUCCAUUGUAUUAGCAAUCUACCAUAAAAAUUUGGUGAUGGUAAACUGAUAAACAAAAAAGUUAUAACAUUUCAAAAAUUUCACAAUUUUUACAUUUAGUAAAAAAAAAUUAUCUGUGUAAAUUAUUUCGGCCGGGAAUCGCGAUUUGAUGCUGAUUUUAUUGUUCAGCAAAGUUAGAUUACUAAAUGGCGAUUCCUAAGAAAAUAUACACUGUGAAAAAAAUCUUUUUUAACAUUAAAAAAUAUCAUUUUUGUCACAAAAACUCAAAUAUCUCAAAACCCUAUCUUUUUACCAACGUCAUUUUUUAGAGAAAACGGUCCAUUGUAUUAGCAAUCUACCAUGAAAAUAAACAAAAAAAUUAUGACAAUUCAAACAUUUCACAAUUUUCACAUUUAGUAAUAAUUUUUUUUGGUGUAAAUUAUUUCGGCCGGAAAUUGAAGUUUGAUGCUGAUUUUAUUGUUAAUGGCCUUGCGUGAGUAAAACAAGUUGUUUUUAUUAUAUAUUAUAUAUACAUAUAAUAUACUAUGUACCGUAAUGUUCCGAUUUUAUCACGCCCUCCGCGCAUUAGUCGUUUAUUCAUUAAUUUGCUGUUACAUUUGAGGACAAGUGUUUUCCCUCUUCUUCAAGAUGAAUGUUGAAAGCGUGUUUUGCAACGUUAAAAAUAUUGAAAUGGGUAUAGAUGUUGAAGAAUAUUACAGGGCAUUUUUGAAAAGGGGCGUAAUUAAAUUGUUUAAACAGAUGUCGCUGAUGGCAAUUUCUCAGUUGUUGUCGUUUUCGAACUUCCUGCGCCCUGCUUUACCGAUGAUAUACAGAUGGCUCGUUUGUCAAAUUUUAGACGGCAGGACGUGCAAAUGCGUAAUUUUGUACACAAUGUGGACAUUUGGGCAUAACCAGUCUCUUUCAGUUUAUCUAUGGUGCUUUCGGUGAGAUUUCGUAACUCUUUUGAACAUUUUUUUUCAUCAAACGGUCUACAAGAGAGCGUUUAGUUGAAGACCUUUGAGAAAGCGACUGUUCAUCUUGUUCGUUAGAUUAUAAUAAACAAAAUCACUUAUUAAUUUUAACUUACUUGUUUGGUGUUGGUGGCUGAAGAAAAAAAAAUACUAUACAAUUUUUAAUAUUCAUAGCGGUAGUAUUUUUUUGUUUUUUUCGUGAGCAUUGUCAGGUAUGUAUACAGACAAACAAACGUAACACUGGCGAAAUUUUCAUUGACCACGCCUUCAACGAUCAUUUUGAAUCUUGGUUGUGGCUUUCAUAACAAGAAGAGCGCCCAUCGUUUUUCUUUGCGUUUGACGUUUCACACUAGCGCCUUCUGAUGACGAUAUUGCACAACGCAGUGUUUCGUGAAACAUUUCCACCAGGUGGUGAUAGUGUGAACUGGGCGAUGAAUUUUCACUAAAAUUGUUCUAGGCGUUUCAUCUGUUUGUCUGUGGUAUGUACCUCUUAUGCAUUUGUUGUUGUUGAAGUUACUCGCAUUCUUCCGAUCAUAAAGUCUGUUCUCUACACACUUAAUUUUGAUUACCGAGUUCGGUAAUUUUUUGACGAGAUUAAAACUGCUGAGCACCGAACUCGUUCAGCAAAAAUGCAUUGUUUACUUUUUCCAUACGAUUUUGACAGUUGUUUUACUGAGCCUCAGUAAAAUCGAUUACCGAAACUACCGAGAUCGUACUGCUGUUAUAAUCUCGCCAAAAAAGUACCGAACAGGCAAUUCAGAAAUAAGUGUGUAAGAGGGAUUUUUUUUGCGGAUAAACUAGACGUAUACGCGUAUAAAAAACUUUUAUUAUACAGCUUUUGUCUUGAAAAUAAAUUCAAUUCCAUUUUUCUUAUAAUCAACAGCUUUUCAACACUAUCAAGGGAUUUUUUCACCAGUCACGUACAAUAAAAAGUAUGACAAUCUCAAUAUUUUUGAUCACAACACUGGAUCGCGUCUAAGUUUCAAAUAGAUACUAUAGUAAUUACGAAUAAUCAAACUAAAGUAUCAUGAAAACAACUUGUUUAAUUCAGGCGGUAGCCUUUACAAUAAAAUCAGCAUCAAAAUAUAAUUCUCGAAAUAAUUUACACAGAAAAAAAAAUUUUUUGUUACUAAAUGUAAAAAUUGUGAAAUGUUUGAAAUGUCAUAACUUUUUUGUUUAUCAGUUUACCAUCACCAAAAUUUUAUGGUAGAUAGCUGAUAUAAUGGGCCAUUUCCCCUAAAAAAUUGAAGUUGGUAAAAAGAUAGGGUUUUGAGAUAUUUGAGUUUUUGUGACAAAUAUCAUAUUUUUUCAAAGUAGAAAAAGAAAUUUUUUACAGUGUAUAUUUUCUAAGGAAUCAUCAUUUAGUUAUCUAACUUUGCUGAAAAAUUUAUAACAAUCGAACAAUCCGUUUUUGCUGUACAGCUUUUAGAAUAUUUUAGAACUAUUUUCGCAUACACCCUUUUGAAAAGUUAGUCGUGAGUGAAUAUGAAGGUUUAAUAUCAAAAAAUGGCGAUUUAUAUGAAAUUGAAAAACUGUGCAAAGUUUCAGAUAUUUUUGAAAUGGUCGCUCAGGAUCGACUGACAUGACUCCGUGGAAUUUUUCAUAUUUAAAUCGAAAUUGCAAGAAAACGAUAAAAGCUAGAAAUUUGGUGUCAAAGAACGAAUUGUAGAGUGAGACAGGGACCACAACUUUGCCGAAGAAAGAAUUUUAAUUUAUUACAAAAGUUUUAAAGAUAAUUGACAAAAACAAAUUAAAACACACUACUUUUGAGCCAUUUGCCUUAAUAAAACUUAGUGAUUUAACUAAACCAUUUGAUUCAAAGAAGUCAUUUGAUAGAAAAAUCAAUAAUCUUUCGAAUAAGGGCAAAAAACUGCGAUAAGUUCGACCAUUUUGAAGUUAUAGCCAGUUAAGGCAAUAAGAGUCAUGGGAAC